UAAUACCGGAUAUGACUCCUCAUNGCAUGGUGGGGGGUGGAAAGCUUUUGUGGUUUUGGAUGGACUCNCGGCCUAUCAGCUUGUUGGUGGGGUAAUGGCCUACCAAGGCGACGACGGGUAGCCGGSCUGAGAGGGUGACCGGCCACACUGGGACUGAGACACGGCCCARACUYCUACGGGAGGCAKCASUGKGGAAUAUUGCACAAUGGYAAAC
rnacentral:rRNA from 1 species